rnacentral:rRNA from 1 species
UACGUAGGUGGCGAGCGUUGUCCGGAAUUACUGGGUGUAAAGGGCGUGUAGGCGGGAAUGCAAGUCAGAUGUGAAAUACCGUGGCUUAACCACGGGGCUGCAUCUGAAACUGUAUUUCUUGAGUGUCGGAGAGGAAAGUGGAAUUCCCAGUGUAGCGGUGAAAUGCGUAGAUAUUGGGAGGAACACCAGUGGCGAAGGCGACUUUCUGGACGAUAACUGACGCUGAGGCGCGAAAGCGUGGGGAGCAUACAGG